AAUCAUCAAAAAUAAAACAAGCGUGUAAUGAUAAAAGCGCGCGCAAUUAAUUGCAGGCACGCAGUAUUCUCAUCAUCAUGGACUUAAGACUUCUACUCCUGGUCGUGAUGCUUAUCAUGUUCGUCGGAAACUCCGUCGACGCUGGUUUCUUUUAUAACCAAGUUCCAUUAAAACUCGAAGAAUUAAAAAAACAUCAUCUCAAAUGUAUUCCUGGUAGAACUGUUAUCAGAAUGAAAGAAAAAGGAUCAAAUGAAAAUUCAUAUGAAACUGAAGAAUU